rnacentral:rRNA from 1 species
GAUGAACCCUGGCGGCGUGCCUAAUACAUGCAAGUCGAGCGAACAGACGAGGAGCUUGCUCCUCUGACGUUAGCGGCGGACGGGUGAGUAACACGUGGAUAACCUACCUAUAAGACUGGGAUAACUUCGGGAAACCGGAGCUAAUACCGGAUAAUAUAUUGAACCGCAUGGUUCAAUAGUGAAAGACGGUUUUGCUGUCACUUAUAGAUGGAUCCGCGCCGCAUUAGCUAGUUGGUAAGGUAACGGCUUACCAAGGCAACGAUGCGUAGCCGACCUGAGAGGGUGAUCGGCCACACUGGAACUGAGACACGGUCCAGACUCCUACGGGAGGCAGCAGUAGGGAAUCUUCCGCAAUGGGCGAAAGCCUGACGGAGCAACGCCGCGUGAGUGAUGAAGGUCUUCGGAUCGUAAAACUCUGUUAUUAGGGAAGAACAAAUGUGUAAGUAACUAUGCACGUCUUGACGGUACCUAAUCAGAAAGCCACGGCUAACUACGUG